rnacentral:rRNA from 1 species
AACGAACGCUGGCGGCAGGCUUAACACAUGCAAGUCGAGCGCCCCGCAAGGGGAGCGGCAGACGGGUGAGUAACGCGUGGGAACCUUCCUAGGGGUACGGAACAACUCAGGGAAACUUGAGCUAAUACCGUAUACGUCCGUGAGGAGAAAGAUUUAUCGCCCUUAGACGGGCCCGCGUCGGAUUAGGUAGUUGGUGGGGUAACGGCCUACCAAGCCUACGAUCCGUAGCUGAUCUGAGAGGAUGAUCAGCCACACUGGGACUGAGACACGGCCCAGACUCUUACGGGAGGCAGCAGUGGGGAAUCUUGGACAAUGGGCGAAAGUCUGAUCCAGCCAUGCCGCGUGAGUGAAGAAGGCCUUAGGGUUGUAAAGCUCUUUUGCCAGGGACGAUAAUGACGGUACCUGGAGAAUAAGCCCCGGCAAACUUCGUGCCAGCCGCCGCAGUAAGAC